AACGAACGCUGGCGGCAGGCUUAAUACAUGCAAGUCGAGCGGGCACUUCGGUGUCAGCGGCGCACGGGUGCGUAACGCGUGGGAACAUGCCUUUAGGUACGGAACAACCAAGGGAAACUUUGGCUAAUACCGUAUAAUAUCUCUGGAUCAAAGAUUUAUCGCCUAAAGAUUGGCCCGCGUUAGAUUAGGUAGUUGGUGGGGUAAUGGCCUACCAAGCCGACGAUCUAUAGGGGGUCUGAGAGGAUGAUCCCCCACACUGGAACUGAGACACGGUCCAGACUCCUACGGGAGGCAGCAGUAAGGAAUAUUGGACAAUGGGCGAAAGCCUGAUCCAGCCAUGCCGCGUGAGUGAUGAAGGCCUUAGGGUUGUAAAGCUCUUUUAGAUGGGAAGAUAAUGACUGUACCAUCAGAAUAAGCCCCGGCUAAAUUCGUG
rnacentral:rRNA from 1 species